CACUUGGAAUUUUGGCAUUACGGCGCUAGUGACGACAAGUAUCUGACUGCACGGCAUUUCGCAGCGACAUAGACAUGAAAAACGUCCCCAGGGCACUACUCAUUGCUAUUGCGGGGGUAUUAUUUGCGAUAGAAAUCUCUGAACAAUGGACGGUUAUGGACACUAAAGCUUGGAAGAAUGGGAAGUGCUACUUCAGAGGACGAGCAUAUGAAGUUGGAGAGGCAACGUAUGAGACAAAGCAGUGCAUGAGAUGGACUUGUUUCCGAGAGAACAGCACUCAUGGCUGGAUGUCUGGUGUAGGGUGCGGAAAGGUGGCCGCAACGCCACCGUGCAAAUUGAUACCUACGAGGGAAGGUAUCAACCCGGAAUGUUGCGAGUAUGCACUGUGCGGAAACAGGCGAUUUCCCGGAUAGACUAUUGGUGCUUGAACAAAGACAAUUUGUGUGCAAGAAGCACGUUACUAUAUCGCCUCACCAGUGUUGUCUAUACUCAACAGUGUACCACUGUUCCGUAUCAGGAGUUACACCACA